AAGUAUGAUCAUAUCCUUAACUCAAAGGAUUUAUAAGUUCAAUCUUGACUUUACACUAGCUCUAGUGUUCUUUCAUCACUUUAUGUUGCUAACUCUAGCAAUUAUUGUUCUUUACUUUUCUUUUACUUUUGCCAUCUCUAGCAUUCUUGUUCUUUACAUUUCUUGUUCUUAUUACCCCACUUUACUUUAACUUUACACAUAUUGUCAUUUUCAUCAUUCUUUACAUCACUUUGGUUCUUUACCUCACACUAUCUCUAGUGUCAUUUCACUUUAA
rnacentral:lncRNA from 1 species